rnacentral:rRNA from 1 species
UACGUAGGGGGCAAGCGUUGUCCGGAAUCACUGGGCGUAAAGGGUGCGUAGGCGGGUCUUUUAAGUCAGGGGUGAAAUCCUGGAGCUCAACUCCAGAACUGCCUUUGAUACUGGCGAUCUCGAGUCCGGGAGAGGUGAGUGGAACUGCGAGUGUAGAGGUGAAAUUCGUAGAUAUUCGCAAGAACACCAGUGGCGAAGGCGGCUCACUGGCCCGGUACUGACGCUGAGGUGCGAAAGCGUGGGGAGCAAACAGG